AUCUUGAACGGAUGACUUCCUGUCACUGAUUGUCGGUAUUUGAUUUGUUUUGUAAGGGGAGAUUCGGAAGAGCCUCCGCCGAGUGCCAGUGGAGCAAUGAUGGCUGAAUUGGAUAUACAGUUGAACGACGGAUGGCAGACUAUUCAGUAGCAUCAGCGCAGCGCUUGGGAGAACAUCGGAUUUUACGUUAGCCGGUGAUAUUGCCGCCAACACCGAGAAUUGUAUGAGGGAAGUUAUAUCCUUGCGGUUCGGGGAUAGAUCCGCAAAGAUGUAUAAUUUGUGAAAGAAGUUGGUUGAGGUGGUGCCAGGUGUGAAGGACGAUGUGGCACCAGGAAUAAUGUGCUGGGGAAGGUUACAGUCUGUGUGAAACAGUUCAGUAGAUUAUACGCGUGUGGUACCAAUAGGGAACCCGGUUACUUGUGGUCGAUUUGUGAAGCUUGCCAGGUACGGAGGGUGUGUUUUACCUGUUGCAUAUGGAUGAAUAUGUCAAGUGCGAAUGUGAGGAAAAUACGUGAAUCAAAGUGUUUUCAAAGAAUCCUUGCGAUGAGUGUGGUGAACACUUCUGGUUUAGCGUAUAAAUAGUGGAGAAGGCGUAAUGCAUGGAACCUUGGCGGAAACAUGUGAUUUAUAGCGGGUUGAAGUGUUCUUUUAUGUUUUAUGGUGUUUUCGUGUACACGUUAUUGUAAGCUGUGGCAGAAUCGAGAAGCAAAAAAACCAAAGCAGCGUAACUGUAGGAUUAGGUGAUUUAUAUCGGUGUAAACGAAUAAAAUGACGAAGAUGGUGAAUGAUAGUUACAGUUCUCUGAUGGUGGCAGCUUCUGCUGCUUCCGACGGCCAUUUCAAUACCACCAUCAUCUCGACCACUACUUUGAUGCCAUCCGGUUAUCCUCCGGAAGAUGAUGGAGAAUUUGAAGAGAUGGUGUCCCGUAUCGUGGCUAUCUUUUUCGGGCUCAUCGGUAUUACUGGCUUACUUGGUAAUGCUUUGGUAGUGCUAGUUGUACUUUCUAAUCCAUUGAUGCGAUCAACGACCAAUUUGCUAAUCAUCAAUUUGGCAGUAGCGGACCUUUUGUUCGUGAUAUUCUGCAUACCGUUUACGGCAACCGAUUAUGUGGUUUCAUCGUGGCCAUUCGGAGACCUCUGGUGUAAAAGUGUUCAGUACUUGAUAGUGGUGACGGCACAUGCCAGUAUCUAUACUUUGGUGUUGAUGUCUCUAGAUCGAUUUUUGGCAGUGGUGCAUCCGAUAGCUAGCAUGGUGAUAAGAACUGAGAAGAACACAUUGUGGGCUAUCACUAUCCUGUGGGUGCUCAUCAUCACGACGGCGCUACCGGUGUUGUUCGCUCAUGGAAUAAACAGAAUCGCAUACAAAGACGAGGUCCUCGAGUCGUGUUCGUUCCUCGAAAACGGACAGUUUUCCCGCGCUGCCUUCCAUAUCGCGUUCUUCUCCAGCUCCUACGUGGUGCCGCUGGUGCUGAUAAGUGUCCUCUACAUGUGUAUGCUUUCACGACUGUGGCGAAGUUCCGUCGGUGGACGAUCGGCCGAGUCCAAGAAGAGCAAAAAACGUGUCACUAGACUGGUGGUGGUCGUCGUGGCUGCCUUCGCUUCACUGUGGUUUCCCAUACAGGUGAUACUGGUGCUAAAAAGUGUAGGAGUUUUUGUUCCGGAUACGUCCUUCAAGAUAUCGUUGCAAAUCAUCUCCCACGUGCUGGCGUAUACAAGUUCCUGCAUCAAUCCGCUAUUGUACGCGUUUUUGUCGGAAAAUUUCCGGAAAGCGUUUCGAAAGAUUGUUUACUGCGGCCCGGGAAGUCGACGGCAUGGCAGCACUCGCCACAUGCCACUUCCAACGAAAACAACUCGCACCGGUAGCUGCCAGGGCCAGGACAUUUUAUAACCGGAAAUGGAGCAAACGUCCGUCGCAUACUUUUAAGAGGUCCAUCCAUCACUGUCAUCAUUGCCAUCACCGUAUCAUCGCCAUCAUCGUUACAAGCUGCAGUGUCAUGGGUAUCUAUUAUACCUAUUGGAAUUUUUUUAUCAGUCAAUGGAGCCGGGAAGUUCCACAAACCAAACCGCACCGAGCGAAAAUAUUGCAACACAUUACGGCAACUCCACCUUUUCCUUACUGCAUGGAUCCGAAGUACAGGUCACCAUUGUAGAUGGUGUUCGAGUUUAUCGUCGCAGCUGGAAGUGUUUCCGCCAGAGUAUAGUCACCAUGAUACAGGAAACACUGUCACUGCAAACCGCAGCUCGCAGCCACUUGGACAACAUCAUCAACGCUGCUGAGCUUCCUCUUACUUAUUCUGUUUGCUGCUAGUUGUGGCUGCAUGGAGGAAACCACCAGAUUAUCCCUAAUUAUCCCGGGGCAACGCUCAAUCUUGUUUAGCUACCGUAUGGUGGUGGCAGUGGCUACAUUUACUCCAAGGAUUGCAGCCUCAUUGGUGUACCAUGUAUAUGUCCUAAGUGGUUAGCAAAGUUAUCAUCCGCAGCCGGAGGAUGAAAACCAGAGGAUUUGAAAAAAGAAAAACGCCCAAGGAAGCAUUUAUGCUGCGUCGACCUACCGAGAAACACUUUCGGAUAAUUAGGUAGUAAAUGAAGAAUGAAGUUGUUCUUUGAGACCAUGCCCUCCGGACACAAUCCGGGUUUUGCUCAUAUCUGUAGCUGCAGCUAGAUAGAGCUAGCAGCCUUGAUUGAGAAUGGAUAGCUACGAACGCAUUGGUUAUGGGACUGCAGUAGAUUGUUUGAUAAUGAGUUAUGAGUUCGAGGGAAAAAAUAUCCCUGAAAUGGAAAAGUUAUGGCUUCACUGUGGGAUGAGCAAGAGAAUGGAAUCUGUAAGCAUUGAUUUUAUGGAGGAGCAGUUUUUAUUGGAUCGUUAAAUUCUGGAAAAUCUGCUGGGAAUAAAAUAUGCUUUGAUAAAUUUAGUGCUACUGGAUAUCGUUUAUGAGGAGCUUUAUGGUAUAGAUUGCUUAUACGAUGUAUAAAAUGAGAAUUUCAUUUAAAAAUAUAUCGAAUCAUCACAUACAUUAAUUGUGGUAUAGUUUAUUCGAAAUUGAGUGAAAAACGAAGAACAAUACAAAAGUUUGCGAUGUGGCAAAGUAACUAGGAUGAUAAAUUUCUAUUCUAUUCUAAGUGC